rnacentral:rRNA from 1 species
UACGUAGGGUGCGAGCGUUGUCCGGAAUUAUUGGGCGUAAAGAGCUCGUAGGCGGUGUGUCACGUCGGCCGUGAAAACCUGCAGCUUAACUGUGGGCGUGCGGUCGAUACGGGCAUCACUGGAGUUCGGCAGGGGAGACUGGAAUUCCUGGUGUAGCGGUGAAAUGCGCAGAUAUCAGGAGGAGCACCGGUGGCGAAGGCGGGUCUCUGGGCCGAUACUGACGCUGAGGAGCGAAAGCGUGGGGAGCGAACAGG